CUUUCCCCUGCUUCCCUCCAUCCUCCCCCGCCUCCUCUCCCGGGGGGAUCGCAUCUGCUCGUGGGCAGGGAAGGGGUCGCCAGGGAUUAACUUUGUUUCGGGGGUGGCUCUUCCCCAGGGGGCUUGUGCCGCUCCGCGGAGCUAGCGGGGGCUGCCCCGGCCCUGGGGAGCCAGAGGUCGGAGCAGAACGGGGAUCCUGUCCUGCGCCCUUCCCCUCUUCACUGCACAGACCGGCCAGGGCGGCUGGCUGAAGCCGGGCUCCUCCUGCUAGUGUCCGGGCAGGCGAGGCCUGAUUUCAGUGCCAACUCUUGCUCCACUCUGAUGCACAGCUAUUGCAGAGUCCAACAAUGUCCCAAGAAGACUCCGAAGAACCCAGACCAGGAAAGCACUUAAGCAUAUGCUUGGCUCUAAGCAGUUCAUUUUACACCUGUGCAGAUGGUUGCAAAGAUUCCUCUGUUGACAAGGCCUAACGAAAUAUCUUACUUCAGGCAAUGAAUUCAGAUGGAGACAGCUUCCCAGUCACCAUUAUGCUUUAACAUACAAGUCACAACCUGGAAGAAUUAGUGAGCUGAGUAUUGGCCUUUUCAAAAGUUCCGACAACCACUGCUGUCAAACAUGUAGAAUUCAGUCUCACAUUCUGCUCUUCUGUCCUUGUCAUCCACUAGUUCCAAUCCACUGACCUUUCCUGCACAGUAAAGUCUGACAACAUGUGGAAGACAUUGUAUAACUACAUAGUGUCAAAUAUUAUUAGAUGUGUCCAUGGUCUGUUGUUAUUGCUGUCUCAGGUACAGGACAUUUUCAGAUCCAAAUACAAAUAAAAACACUUCUAGGAAUUA